rnacentral:rRNA from 1 species
GAUGAACGCUGGCGGCGUGCUUAACACAUGCAAGUCGAACGGGCCUUGUCCCCUUUUUUUUGGGGGUGGGGUUAGUGGCGAACGGGUGAGUAACACGUGAGUAACCUGCCCCUCACUUCUGGAUAACCGCUUGAAAGGGUGGCUAAUACGGGGUGUUCUGGCCUGCUCGCAUGGGUGGGUUUGGAAAGAUUCGACCGGUUUUGGUUGUUUUGGUGGGGGAUGGGCUCGCGGCCUAUCAGCUUGUUGGUGGGGUGAUGGCCUGCCAAGGCUUUGACGGGUAGCCGGCCUGAGAGGGUGGGCGGUCACACUGGGACUGAGACACGGCCCAGACUCCUACGGGAGGCAGCAGUGGGGAAUAUUGCACAAUGGGCGCAAGCCUGAUGCAGCGACGCCGCGUGAGGGAUGGAGGCCUUCGGGUUGUGAACCUCUUUCGCCAGUGAAGAAGGUCCUGCUCUUUGUGGUGGGGUUGACGGUAGCUGGGUUAAUGAAGCGCCGGCUAACUACGUG